rnacentral:rRNA from 1 species
UACAGAGGGGGCAAGCGUUAUUCGGAAUUAUUGGGCGUAAAGGGCGCGUAGGCGGCCGUGCAAGUGGAAGGUGAAAUCCCUAGGCUCAACCUAGGAACUGCACUCGAAACUUCUUUUCUUGAGUGCCGGAGAGGAAAGCGGAAUACCUGGUGUAGAGGUGAAAUUCGUAGAUAUCAGGUGGAACACCAGUGGCGAAGGCGGCUUUCUGGACGGUAACUGACGCUGAGACGCGAAAGCGUGGGGAGCAAACAGG